CCCUUAGAUGUUCUGGGCCGCACGCGCGCUACACUGAUGCAUUCAACGAGUCUAAAACCUGGUCUGAUAGGGCUGGGUAAUCUUUUGAAUGUGCAUCGUGAUUGGGAUAGAUGAUUGCAAUUCUUCAUCUUCAACGAGGAAUACCUAGUAAACGCAAGUCAUCAGCUUGCAUUGAUUACGUCCCUGCCCUUUGUACACACCGCCCGUCGCUCCUACCGAUUGAAUGUUCCGAUGAAUACCAUGGACUGAGAGUAUGAAUGGGUUCGCCUAUUUCUGCUUCUCGGGAAGUGGAGUAAAUCUUAACAUUUAGAGGAAGGAGAAGUCGUAACA
rnacentral:rRNA from 1 species